rnacentral:rRNA from 1 species
GACGAACGCUAGCGGCGUGCUUAACACAUGCAAGUCGAACGAGUCGCGAACGGGUGAGUAACACGUGAGUGACCUGCCCUGCACUUCGGGAUAAGCCUGGGAAACUGGGUCUACUACCGGAUAGUUUGGGAUGGGCCCGGGGCCUAUCAGCUUGUUGGUGGGGUAACGGUCACCUAGGCGCGAUCUCUAGCUGGUCUGAGAGGAUGAUCAGCCACACUGGGACUGAGAAACGGCCCAGACUCCUACGGGAGGCAGCAGUGGGGAAUAUUGGACAAUGGGCGAAAGCCUGAUGCAGCCAGGCCGCGUGUAUGAAGAAGGCCUUAGGGUUGUAAAGUACUUGUAGCAGGGAGGCGGUACCCGCAGAAGAAGCACCGGCUAACUCCGUGCCAGCAGCCGCGGUAAUAC